CGCAUAGUAUACUGGGAAAACUUGGAAACAUAAAAAGGCGGGCAUUUAGCGGACGCGAGGCGUGGAUGUUGUAGAUUGCAUUCACGUAGACUAAUCCCUCUCUUCCUUUAUAUAAUUAUGAUCGUACAAGUCGUUUCAAAUACCCACUCCCUGAUCACGUUCGAAAGAUCUGCCACACUCACUACCAUUUAAGUCAUGCAUGGAAACACUUCGAGACAAUAGCUACAUUUCAGGGGAUUAACUUACUUCCUUUCAGUGUCGAACUUGAAGUACAGCACUCAACACUAUGCUGCUCGUUCAACCUUUGCUACCAGUUAUCAUACGAGCAUGGCUAAAUAACUAAGUUAAACAUGUCAAAUCUUUUGUGACGACAACUGGAUAACUCAGUACCACAGCUUCCGACUCCACAAGACAAACCAGUCCUCAGUCCUCGUGAAAGUGAAAAUGAUGACCAACAAUGGAUACAACUCUGCCAACUUAAAUUAACCCCCACCCCAAAAUGAUACCGGGCCCAGAGGAGGUCCGACAAGGUCAAAAGGUCUGACAGAUCUGCCGUGCAUAAUAUGUACUUUGAACCGUGCGCCAAAUAGAAUAUAUCAUUAUUUACACCAAGAUGGAUCCUUAUCCGGACUGCCUGUUGAAUGAGGACAGAAGUGCGUCUUUCAACAACUAAUAAAGUGCAAGAUAGUUGUGUAAGCAUUCAUUGUGUAAGCAUUUAUUUAAUAUAUAUAGCUACAUAGUACAUGUAUUAUAAAAUACCUGCUGUCUUUUAAAUUCCUGUACAAGGAGGAACGCAAACACAACAGACUUGAUGCGCCACUCUAGUGACAACGAAAAUUGUGACAGUAAUUACAAGACAGUGAUUACAAGGGCAAUGGUCAGUGGUGGAAGAGAAUGGGACCAGGGCGAAAUGGAAAGACAGUUGGCUAUGUUGUCAUUGAAAUACUUGACCAUGUUCAUACAACAAUCAGCUCAGGCACUGCCAUGGCCAUUACGCUGAUAACAAAGACUGGACCAUAUAGCUGCCUGUGAAACGUUACCAGAGCACAAUACUGUAUUGUGUGCAUUAAACUUUAUACUCAAAUGAAAGAGUGUUCAUGUGCUUGGGCUUUAUAUAAUGAUGGAGUCUUGCGAGCGGCCCUUAUUCGAGGUUAAUAGGUAGUGGCCUGUAGUUUUAGGUGGUUCCCUGAGGUCAAAAGUUCACUUGCUAUUUUCGCUUCGAAAUAGAGCUGUACCUUGGAGGUACAAUCAAGUUCUAGUGUAAUGAAUAACCUGUUACAAUUAUUAAAAUUAUUAAACGGGGUACAGUAGCAAACAGGAAUUCCUAUACAAAACAUAAGCUCACGUGAUAAAUUCAUUAGUGACCUUUUGACCUUGUCAUAUCGGCAACAGAUAUCCUCACAGCGUCGUCUUUCAAAUACCACCUUCCAACAUUAAUGUGCAGCGUCAUGCCGAACGUUCUUAACAUCUGUGGUUGUCUCUGCUUUGUAAUUAUCAAUACAAAAUAUUCGAAAUGUCAAUGAUAGGACAGAAAACCUUGGCCUGGGUUGACAAACGAUUUCGGCAGGGAAGUGGUAAACUAACCCCAAUUUUAGGUGAAAUGUCGCUUGAAAACCUACGUACUUUAAUGAUACUUCAGCCAUAACCAAUUCAAUAAUUCGUCAACUGUUGUUGCGUCUGCAACGACGACUGGCAAACAUUGCUACUUAUAAUUAUAGCUCUUCUACACGCUGAUUAUCUAGCCAAAGUCAUGCUGGUUGCCAAUAUAAUUAUUAUGGCCGGAAAUAGCAUCAGGCAUUGUUCAUCAAAUUUUAUACCAAUUAACAUUUAUUGCUGAUGUUACCAAAUUGUGCCCCAAUUGCACCGCUCACAUUCGAAUGGACUUCAACAAACAGCACACCUCGAUACAUAAUCACUAUACCAAGGCCAAACACUGUGGAUUGAAUCAGUUUCAUGUUUUCCACGUCUUCAGUGUGGUCCAAUGCAAGACUUCACCACCACUACCAUAUUAUUUUAAUUAUCCAUGAUGAUAAUUUUGUUUGCAGGAAAGGUAUAGUUAAACCUUUCACGCAAGCACACUUCAUUAAACAUCCACGUGUAAUGUGUAAACCAUCUUUACUAACUUGAAGCCCAUCUCUAUCGAUCAGGCAUCCAGGAAAAGAAUCUUCGAAGAAUAAUAUUAUGCCAAGCUCAUGUCGGGCAAGUACUUUGAUGGCACACUUCCCUUCGUUUUGUCUAAACAGCAAUAGUGAGUGAAUGGUUAGUAGUGCUACAGUGGUUAAUUUCAACAUUCAAAAGACGGUUUUUUUCAACAUGCACAAUUUCAUCAGAGGGCCAAAACUUUGGAGACAGAUAGAAGAAAUGUUAAGCUUUGCAUGUAGCAGUUUGCCCUAGACAUCACUCCCCACCAAACAUAUAGUCUAUAAUUACCUGCUUAAGGACUAACAUAAUUAUAAUAUGUAUGCCCUAGUAUUAUGCCAAACCGCUACUUUGCCUCAAGGCACGAGGGAUACGGUAAAGCUAACUGUGUGUGUGUGUGUUCCAGCUGUAACUGCUCAACAGUUGUAAUGCGACAAAAACUAAGGCUUCUAGCCAUGUUCUCUUGGAUUUUGAUUCGUGGAUUAGCAAUUAAAUUAAACUAAAGCUUCUUUGAGCAGUUACAGCUGGAAUACACACACGCGCUUUGGUUGUUUCACAAGAAAUGAGUGUUGCACUGCUAAUGCCUCUCGCCAUGUUUUUGCUUUCGCAAAAUAUUACCUAACACUCUAAUACUUUUGAGCGAAAGCAAAAACAUGGUGAGAGGCAUUAGCAGUGCAACACUCGUUAUUCAUUGCAUUUCGUUAUCAGCCGCAAAUGUACAGAGCACGUAGCACAUUAUAAACAAGGACAUUAGGAAAUGUGGUAAGACGAUAGUGAAUCCGCAAUACUCUAGAACAAAAUAAAUGAUGUUACUCCCAAGUUUAUUUAACAGAUUUUAGUAGUUAGCUUCCGCCCCGUGACGUAACGUGAACACCCACACACCGGUAUUUUAUACGUUUGCACAUGCCAAGCUAGGUGGCAUUGAAACGCGAAAUUUUGCCGCUAUACCACUUCAAGUGUAAGAACUGUUUUAAUAAUAAAUUGUGGCUCAUAACAGUUGUAUUGAUCUACACUAUACAGUCAAUUCACUUAGACACUCGCUCUGCUCUGCUUGUGGAAGAGCCAUUACUGAUCACUGAGUGUAAUGCCGGGGUGGUCAGUUUUCUUCCCAGGAAAAUCAAUUUGUGGAAGAUCAGAUGUCCAAUCACCAUGACAACCAGGACAUUUAAUAGACACUCUAUUAUGGAGAAAAAUAUUUACAACCAUGAACACAUUAUUUACAAACUGUUAUCUGUACGUGUAAUAGUUGUGCCAUGGAAUCUAAGGCAGGGGCGGAUCCUUGCAGGACUUUUGAAAAGGGGGGCAAUUGAAAGAAACACUUUUACUUUUUAAAGCUUGGCUUUUCUGGUCAUGGGUUGGUUGAUGACCAUACAAUAUGACAUACAUAGUAUACAGUGGCAUAGCCAGGAUUAUGGGAAGGGUAGGGCUCAAAUUAGUUGAGCAUAGGCACUGAAUUUCAUAGACUAAAAAAAAAGGUCAUCACUUUUCCUCAUUUCCACAGCAGUAAGCAUGCGCAUCAGAUGGCCCUGCCCACAUUUCAAUUAGAUUACAUGGCAUCAUUUUAGUAACUAUGCAUGCAGUAUUAUCAAGCGAGAGAAGUGGGUGCCGUUUGUGUCAAAAUAUUGAAAUAAAAACACAAGGUUUUGGUGGUAUUUAGUACACAAGAUCAAAGCACUCCAGUGCUCAGUAUAUGGCAUGUUGCAUCACUGCCAUAGCUACCAUAUAUUGCAUUGUAUUAUAAUUUUGGGACUUAUGCCCCACCAUCCAACCCAAUAACUCAUUUGGUCCCUUUUAUAGGCUACUACUUUUAUAACUACUAGUGGGAAGAAAACCUAAAAAUUUACUAUGGAAUUCAAAAAGUAAUGAAUACACUAAAUUCCUUCAAAACAUUCCUUCAAAACACAUGUCUUUUAAUAUGACCAGUCAGACGUCAUUGGGCAACAAGUUAGUUAUUGCAGGCGCCCUCGUGCAACAUGCCAUAUAUUGCACUGGAUGACAUAAUGCCCGAGGGCCGCAUUAUAUUGCUCCAGUGCAAUAUAUGGCAUGUUGCACUCUGGCUGGGCAAUACGUAUUUAGGUGUGGGGGUAUUUAGCAAACAACUGAGGGUAAUUAGCAAACGACUGAGGGCAUUUAGUGAAUGACUGAGAGUACUUCAGCAAAUGGCUGAAGGGAUUUAGCAAAUAACUGAAGGCAUGUAGUAAAUGGCUGAGGGGACGACUGAGGGUAUUCUCUUCAGCAGGUCAAGGUCAACACUAUAGGCGUUUGUCUAACAAAUUCAUCUGGGCACAGUAGAGCUCUAGCUAUAGCUACAGAAUUCUAGAAGAAGUCGUGCACACUGUGCAUGCGCACAACCUUGUGCCCUGCACACCUCCCUAAUACUAGGAGUAUAUUACAGAUUAGUCAGUUAUGUACUAAAUACUCUCUGUCAUUUGCUAAAUACCCUCAGUUGUUUACUAAAUACCCCCCAGUCCUUUGCUAAAUACCCUCAAAUGUUUAGUAAAUACCACCAAAACCUUGUGUUUUUGUAAUCAAUAUUUUGACACAAAAGGCACCCCAUAGAAUAUGGAGUGUCGAACUACUGAUACUUCUAAACAAACACUGUGCACAAAGUAACAUGACUCGCACGUGAUAAAGUAUUGUAAAUUUACUGUAAUCUCCUAGUAAAUGUUAACCGUGACGUUUUUAGGGGUGUGGUUUUCAAACAAUUCUAGCUAUUAACUGUUCAAUGUUCGCGUUCAACAUUCAGAGCUUAUGGAGCUGCUCACUGCACACUGAUAGGAGACGAUCUCUUCACAAAAAACAUCUAAACAGAGACAAUAGUCGAGUUGAUCCUCUUCACUUGCACUCUUUACUCACUAUUAACAACUUCUGUGCGUUGCGUAAUUAUGCGCAAACGUCAUCAAUUGCGAGUUGCUCACGUACAAUUGACAGAAUGUCACGAUACUUUGCACAGUGUUUGUAGAAGUAUCAGUAGUUUCGACACACUUCUCUUCUUAUGCACUCUUGGUAUUAUACUGCAGAAUACAUUGACAGAUCACAGUGAUUCAAGCAAGUUGGAGUUGAUGGAGCACAAAAGGGGGGGCUCUAGCCCCGUGAUCCCCCCUCUGCCUACGCCACUGGUAUAGUAGGAAAUGCAUGAAGUCAUCUUUCUAUUCAGCUUCAAAAGUCUACAACUAGAUUGUCCGCUAUUCUUCUGCAUGCUAUCAGCUAGAUUGCAUUAGCAGGCAUAUACUGUGACGUGUGCUGCUCUAAGCCACACCUACCAGUGGCAGAUUUAGUAAGAGGUAAGGAGCACCCCACGCGAAUCGAGGGUUACGCCCCUUUUGACGUCAUUUCCGGUGGGUGCGGUAUCAAUGUGACAUUAAUCAUUCCUGUGUUAAGUAGCAUUGCAGAGGUUCCCUACACUCCGUAUUUACUUGUCGAGUCUAGCAGUGCAGCUAGUCAAGCUUUUAUCAUAGCUGGUCUACAGCUACUCAGCUAGCUAGUACCAAGUCUGAGAGUGACUUCCACAGCCAAUGAGUUAUUUGUCCAAGGCUUGGACACCCUCUGCUACCAGCUAGAUCCGCUUCUGCCUACUUUGUUGAAAGUUACCUAGAGUACACAGAUCUUAUCCGAGCUACUCUACAGUCAUAAGGGAGGGAGGGCACAUGCCCCUUGUGCCAUGCACUGGAUCUACCACUGAUCUAGGGUGUACUGCAGUUCUAUGCAUUCCCGAGGGCAGCACAUAUCAUGUACCAUAUAUGGGCAUGCAUUCUUUUGCUUUCCACAAUGUUUGAAAAAAACGAGAUUAUCCAUAUAUAGGCAUGCAUUCUUUUGCUUUCCACAAUGUUUCAAAAAAUUUUUGAAAGAGAGAUGAUCGGGCAUGGUUGUAAACCACAACCACCUAUACGGUACAUCGGUACACGGCCUAGAGUAUACUGAGAGUUUCAAUUGUAUCAGCGCACAUCAUGUAUAGUACAAGUAUAUAAUGCCGUAUACAGUGGAACCUCUUACAACGGACUCUCUAAAUAGCGGACCCUUCUGUUAUAGCGGACAGUAUGCCUUGUACCAACUGCUUUUACUAUCUAUUUGCAACCCCAGAUAGGGGACAGCUCUAAACUCUGGAUAACGGAACAGCCUUGCACGAAAGAUACAUUCAGUGUAAGAAUUAACUUCCUAUAACAGAUGAAGGGUGUGGUAGUGGUGGUGGUGGUUGACGUCGAGGCAAAGGAGCUCUACCUGGACUUCUGGUGAACAUGUAGGCUUUGAUACUUGGCGUGGAGUCUUGGCAGAUGCUGAGGGACGUCGACUCACAGCAGCAACAGCCAGGAGUGACUAAACUGGAGCCUGGACGGUCGAACUUAAAUCUAGCUUUCUUGCGUGUCGACCAUUAGACGUCUUUAUCAGAGUGAAUGCACAUUGACCUUAUGUGACGAUUAAUCAGGUCCAGAUAUUUUGAUUUACUGAGCGAGGAUUUAUUACAUUUAAUGUACCCCUAGUUAUUCUUGUCAUGUGUGCAUGCACAGUUCAGAUCCAGUCUGCGAUACUAGAAUGACUCUCAAUGAGCCACGCCCAUCAAUAAUACAGGUAUAUAGCCUAUGCAUGCAAACGAUGUCUGGAGCUCUUAAAAAUGAACUGGUAACUAGUCUUGACAUAAUGCAUCAGUGGACAGAACAAGAUAACAAGGUAGGCUAUCUGAAUGUUUCUGCUAAUCAGCAAAGCAAAAAGUUUUGAACCACGUGGACACUUUAUGCGAAAGUAUACUCACACUCAGGUGUUUGGUAUGAAUAUCAUUAAAUGUGGCUGAAUAUUUGUCCGGAUACAGUGGAUUGCAGUGCACUUGCAACAGAAAAUUGCCAAACAGCAAAACCGCCAGAUGAAGCUAUUAUCCUAAGCUUAGCUUGCACUUUUAUUACUGAAUGAAUCCCCUGGCAGCAACUGCAUGAAAACAGGAUAUAUGUUAUACUCAUUGUCCACUACAUCAGAAUUUAUGGCAGUAAACCUCCGAGGACGAGGGCGAAGCCCCGAGGCCAAGGAUGGUUUACGUUUGCCAUAAAUUCAAAUGUAGUGGACAAUAAGUGUUAUUAUAUACCCACUUGAGAAAAGUACUUGCUAAGCUACCUCACCUUGGAUACAACUAGCUAACAGUCUCAAAAACUAUAGAAAACGAACAAAAAGCUUGUGCGUAUAGCUUGUAGCCCUUCUAGCUCUACGUAUAUACUAACUUGUCAAUGUCCAAGCAGCGAGCCCCACCCUUCCUGGUGUUUAGCGAGCCCCACCAAUCUGAACUGUCUAGCUUUUUGUGUGUAUAAAAUCAGUGCACUAGGGAGUUUAUGAGGAGCGGGAGUUUAUGGUAGUUAAACCCCACCCAGUUGCUAUGAUACAGAUCCCAAGUGGGCAGGGUUUCAUCUAGUGGGGGGGGGGUGAACCUCCCCUCCCCCCAAAAUGCUCAUCUACAAAUGUGGGAGUGGCCAAUAACCUUCCCCCCUAACUUUUAAUCCUAGAUGAAACCCUGGUGGGGAAUACAUAUAUAAUUAUUAUAAAUGAAAACAAAGAGUCGGGUGUAGUCUGUAGACUAGUUCAUCAAAAAUUAUGCUGUGUGCUUGCAUGCAGAAGGAGCUGGUCUAGACACCGUCUAGAGCUAGCUGUGUUGUUCUUUCUGGCUGGUUGCUGCAGUAGGUACGUGGAGGGAGGGACUGACUAAUUGCACAGAGAGGGAGAGUGGCUCUGUACCGUUCGCUUGGAGGGAGGGGCUGGCUGCUCAUAUUCUGGAGCCAGAGGAGGAACGCCAGGGUCAAUAGAGUCACGUUUAAUGAAGGAUUAAACAUUCUUGUUCUGGCCUUUGCUGCAUAUAGCAGCUUAGCGCUUCUGUUCUUUAUUUGCCUGCUUGGAAAGCUUACUAUACCUAGAUCUAUCCAGUGCAGCAAGCCAGUACAUCAAAAUUUAUACCCUAGCCACGGAAGGCUAAUUUCCAUAUCUUGUGGUUUUGAAGAAUGCAAUAAAAGGUCAAAGGUUUCAAUUAAAUCCUGGAUCUCCUCUCUCAAGCUGAUUCCUUUGGGGCGCAAUAGCUCAACCGAUUUCUGUUGUGAUUAUAAAGAGGAUCAAGCUAUUGAUGGUGUAUAAACUCAGGGGCACGAGGGUAAACUCAGUUUUACAUGUAAAACAUAGGGCCACGUGGUGUUUUAAUUAGUGACCUUUUGACACUGGCAUUCCUCCUCUGUUCUGGAGCCCUGGUACAUGGUGUGGACGAGCUCUCUUUUUCCCUAGUUGUCAUAAAUGAAAACAAAGACUCUGGUGUAGUCUGUUUGAAUAGUGUUGCUGUGUGGUAGUCAUGCAUGCACGCUAUAUAGCUGGAUGCAUAGCGACCAGUCAGCCAAUCAGAUGAGACAUAUAUCAGUUAAUGCACAGUGCCUCAGGGUUUACUGUCAUAAACCCCUCUACACUGUAAUUAACUAAUACAUAUCCACUCCUGAUAUAUCCUGUUUUCAUGCAGUUGCUAGGAUAUGGCCAGGGGAUAACUAUGUUAUAGUUAUUGACUACGCCCGAGGCUGAGGUUGGUUAUAAACCAUAAUUACUAGGCAACCAAUCAACAACUGAUUUAUUUACAGCAAAACAGUCAUCAAUGGAGGCAGUCAAGCUUGCUCUCACAGCCACUUUUGUGCUCAGAACAGUUACAGCUGUCAAGUAUGAGAGCUAGCUACUUCUCCAAGCAGCUAGGUUCUACUGGAAGCCAUAAACUUUAACCAGACGCAGCUGCCGUUUUCAAUUUGCAUUGCACAAGUCUACCAACACUGCAUGCACUGUACUCCUCUACCUCUGAGCCACAGCCUUGACUAGAAACACACAGCAAGGAUUGAUCUGCAGUGUUUCAAGCCUCAUGAACAUGUAAUAAGUAGCUUAGGCUGCUAGCUAGCUCAGGUGAAUAUGACAAUAGCACAAAACAUAGUCUACAAAAACUUUUUGCAUGCUGUAUUGCUAUUUACUGUGUACAAAUUGUUAAGAUGAUUCAAAAGUUGAAUAGUGCUUGUAGGAAGUAAAAAUAUGAGCCAUAUUCCAUACUUCCCUGGGGGAAGUAAAAUAUGGCUCAUAUUCACUGGAAAUCACCUAGGAUACCGAGUGAAUAAAUAGGAUAAUUCCCUCUGAUAUUCCCCAGACAUGUUUGCUACAAGAUCAUGUAUUGUCUACUUUGUAAUUUGUACAGGCUGCCAUAUUAAAAUCAAUGUUUGGUUGCUUUACUGUACUAGUGCUGUAGCUAGUCAAAGAUAGUGAGGAGAUGAUAGUGAGGCACUUGAUAAGAGAUUCUCAAGCUAGAGAGCCCAAGUGCUAGUGGGAGCCUUGGCACAACUCUGCCUUAGUUGAGCGGAGUCCAACCACUUGCAGUGGUUCGGUCUCACGACAAUAUACGUCUCACGACAACAUGCGUUUUUGUUCCAACUGCAGAAAACUUGCAGUUUGCAGCGUUAAAGAGAGAAACCUUACAGCUCAAUUUAGCUGACAAGGCAAGAUGGCUCACUGUAUUUCUCCAGAGAUGCAGCAACAGCAUGAACAGCUCCUGCCAGAUAUCUAGGCUACUAGAAAAGAACCAUGGUCUAUCUUACUAUCUAUAAAUGAGCUUGAACAGUUUGAAGUUGUAGAUUCUUUGUAUUAAAAGGACUUGUCUUCGUUUUGAGUUUUGGUGUACUACCAAUAAGAUUAAUUUGGACAAAACCUGUGUUAUGUGUGCCUUCUCUGGUAAUCGAACAUCUUUUCCAGAAGCCUAUAGGGUAGUCUUAUAGCUCUCUUUGUGCGAGAUCUAGCUAUUAUGAAAAAAGGUUAUUUCUGCCUCUACUAAAUCUUGUUUUACAGGCUGAAGUAUCCUUCCACUUUCUCUAAGAACUCUGAGGUCUUUCUUGCACCCUAAAACAGUUAUAGCUAUAGAUCUAGUCAAGCAUACAAAUAAUUAUUGAUUUCUUUAUAUCGUACCCCUGAGCCAUGCGGUUGUCAGCCACUUGAGAUUAAACAAUAUUCAUACUCUGCCUCAAGUACCAGUGGAACAAAAACGUAUAUUGUCGUGAGACCCAACCGCUGGCAAAGCGUGGUUGGACUCCGCCCAACUAAACUCUGCCUUGGCACUGCGCACUGUCUGGCUCCAGGUCUGUGGGUAUGGGUGGAUUUAGCAGUUUUGUGAGGCUUUAGUCAUGGAGGAGCCAAGGCAGGGCCAAGAGUGUUAGCUAGAUCAGCAUUUCUUGGACAGCGUGGCAAUAAAGAACUCUGGUGUCCAACAGUAAGCAAUAGUACCUGUAGCUACCUAGCUAUUGACAGCUAUAGAGCAAGCUUUUCCACAAUGCUUUCUUUUUACUUUCUGAUAGUUUGGAACGUGAGUUACCAUGGUAGAGGAGUAAAUACGCAAUUAUAGCUAAUUGGGUAUGGCCCCACCCUGGACGCGAACGUACGGUUGGGCACCACUGCAAUGUCAGGUUUGUUCCUGCUGCACAAAAUUUGCAGCCCAAUCAGAUUGCAGAGUUCAAGUGUGAAGGCGUGGCUCAUUAAUGUACGAGUCAGUCAUUCUCUCAAAAUGCAACAAUAGUAGACAAGCCAGCUUGAUCCAGGAACACGCCAGGUCAGUUAGAGCUAGUGGUAUUCAAAAGUGACUCCUGCAGUAGCAUUCUAACUGAGCUUUGCGGUUACCGCACACUUGGAAUUAAUCCUUUCAUGCUUAGCCACACCCUAAAGCUAAGUACCGAUGGAACAAACCUGACAUGCCCAACCAUACGUUCGCGUCCAGGGUGGGGCCACGCCCAACUAAAUUAUAGCUAGCCAAUCACGUAGGAUAUAUAACACUCAUACUAUGGUUGCUAGGGAUUUAUGGCAACGUAAACCACACCUCACACCUCUCCCUCAGGCUCCGCCCUCAUACUUGGUGGGUUUACUGCCAUAAAUCCCUAGAACCAUAGUAUAACUAUACAUAUAUCCGGUGUGGAUAUAUAUAUCAUGCUGUCCUCUGACACCAAGGAAUAUUCAUUGAAACUCUCAGGAUACUCCAGGGUACAAAUCCCAUGUACCCUGCUAGGGUGUACAUUCAUGUACCCUAGGGUACAUUGGCUGUGGUCAGCCUAAAGCCCACCCUCCACCCUUAAAGGAGCCACUCUUUUAUAGAACACUACUGUGACACACUAUGAUCACAUUGUGAAGACCAAUUCUUCAAUAUCCAUCACUAAAACUACCCACCACAUUGGAACUGGGUUGUGUGAAGUUGUAAAUGUGGUUUGUCAAGUGCAAGCACACCACACAAAAUGUGCACAGUGCAUGCACGGCAGGGAUCAAAGAAUGAUGUUUAACCCUUUCCCCGCUUUAGCCGCCUAUAGGCGGCAUGGCUACUGCUAAUUUUCAAAAAAUGAUUGUGCAGGCUGUGUUUGGAGCUAUGCACACGCUGUAGGUACCAGCACAUGCGCACUGAGCUGCUCUUUCACGUGGUAUUUUCAUUGUGCUGCCUCGAGGUACGCUUCAUACUGUAUUGUCGAAAGAAAAGUGACCAAAGUAAUAAUUGCUACAAGAUCUUCGUAGGUAAUCUUAGCGAGGCUCUAGUGCAAGACAGUGAGGAUAUCGAUACCUAUGGCCUUGUUGAGUCAGAGGGGAGUGACUGGGAUCAUAGCCAGAUAGGAAGCUACUCCUCAGAGUUCAAGCUAGAAAAUAAAGAGCCUGAAGAUCCAGAGGAAGAAGCUCAUGAAGCUCUUGAGAAGGACCAAGUUCCUGGACCUGGUGAAGAAAACAUUUCCCGGGAAAAGAGCGUCUGCCGAUACGACCUCAUGAACCAUGUCACCGUGAGAACACUUGCCUGUAGUCACUUUGUGCCUUCAUACAAUAUUGUUUGUGUACAUAAUUGAAUGUUUGUAAACAAU